GGCGGGGCAUCGCCGCGCCGGCCGCCAACGGCCACUGCAACGGUCCCUACCGGGGAGGGCCGGCUUUUGCCGGCUUCCGGAGAAGGGAGGAAAGAGAGAGGUUUACCUAACACUGUAAAGAGAACGUUCAAUGAAAUACAAAGAAAAAGAUGAUUUUUUUGCUCCAAGAGAAUUAUUCCAGCCUUGGGGUGGAGUGGGUGUGGACAGUGAGCAGAAAAACAAGAAACCAAGUUCUGGGAGGAAAUAAAAUGAAUAUAAUCAGUGGAAAAUUCAGCAACGCAAUAUUGUGUGACAACAGUAAAUGACCAAUUUAUAAUUUAAAUUCUAUGAAAAAGAGAUUUAGAAGAGAGUUCUACCAAACCCACUGUUCCCUAGGGAAUAAAAUGAGUAACGCUGACUGGCAACAGUGCAUCCUGAGGGAGCCUGGAGAAACAACAGCAGCCUCCGACCUCAAGAUAUCCUGGUUAGCUGCAAAGUCUGUUAUAUAUUCAUUCAAAUAUUUAUUAAGCACCUUACUGUGUGCUGGGAACUCUUAAGUGCUAGGGAUUAUGAACAAAACAUAUUUACAUGGAGCUUACAAUCUAAGUAAGGGGAAGACAAGUAAAUACAUGUCAGAUAGUGAAAUGGUAGAGAAAAGAAAAAACGGUGGUCAGGGAAAGCCUUACUGACAUUUGAGCUAGUACUGAAGGAAGUGAGGAAGAAGGCUAAGCAGCUACCUUGGAGGAGGAAUUUUCCAGGUAGAGGAAACACCAAGUACUAAGAUCUGAGACGGAGUGUGCUUUUUGGGUUCAAGGAACAGCACGGAAACCAUAGUGGCAAGAGCAGAGAGUAGGAGAUGAGGUCAAACAUAUUAAAGGGGGCUGGUCUUGUAGGGCCUGAAAGACCACGGUAAGGACUUUGGCUUUUGCUGCAUUAGAUGGGGAGUCAUAGUUUCAAAAUUUAGUCACCUAAACCAUCCUUAGCACUACGCUGAGCAAUUAUGCCAGGCCUAGAGGCUAGAAACGGAGAUGAUAAUCCUUUAGCUCCUUGCAACUCAAAGUUUAUUCAGCCCAACCUCUCUCACUACCACUAUCACUACUAUCUUGGACUGCAUAGCAGACUUAACUGAAUCUACAUUUUAACAAGAUCUUCAGGAGAUUUGUGUGUACAUUAAAGUUUCAGAAAUCA
rnacentral:lncRNA from 1 species